GGGGAGGCCAUUCAUUAUGAACUCAGGUAAAAAGCAUGAAGCUGGACCAGAACUAAACAAUGAGCAGAUGCAGGACAACUGAGGAGUGAAGGUCUCCAUCCAUGGGACUGCGGUGUAAAUACUGGGCCUCCCCCAUAGGCAUAGAUCAAGGCAAUCCUACCCCCCCCCAUCCUCCACAGCGGGAGUGCCAAAGAGUAAUGAGAGGAGGGCAGCAGGAGUGGGAUUCCAGGCUGCCUCUGUGGAGAGGCUCUUUUUCCCGACUCGGCAGGAAUAUGUAGGAAAGAAGACACGCCAGGUGUUUAACAGACAUGAGGGUAAGUGAAAACUGACAGUAAGCUGCUAUUAAGCAGAAUGUAACUUCAAUGUCUAAACACAUUAUCCUGACACAGCUUUUACCCCAAACAGGUGAUGCAAGGUGGUGUGUUAUGGUCACACCUCACCGCAGUGGCAACUGUGUCAUCUGUCUGAGUUUUGCGCAUGGUAACAUGAGGACACAGGAUCAAGGCUUGGAUUGGCCAGCGGACAGACCAGCAGCGGGCCACCAUGUCCAUGUUGCUUUACGCUAAAUAGCGAACAGAGCAAAAUGUGCCAGCCUCGGUCAAGGCCGAUUGGGCAUAUGGUUUGUUUUCCCAUGAGUCAUCUAUAAACAUCGCUCAGGUGUUCGCCCUCCUUGUGUAGUGUUUUACAUGAGCUGUGUGAUGUCAUUCGGCC
ensembl:lncRNA